AUUAUAGCAGCAAUAGGAAACUGAUACAGCAGGGCAAUGCACCUGAUCAUCAAGGGGGGAAAAGUGAGCCAACGAAAGUAGACCCACAUCUGAUCUGGAUGUCAAGGAUUUAAGAUAACUAUUUAAAUAUGUUAAAGAAAAUAGUGGGGGCAACGGACAAAAUGGUGACCAGAUGGGGAAUUUCAACAGAGAACUGGAAUCUGUAAAAGCCAAAGGAACAUUCCAGAAUGGACACAUGUAACAUCUGAAAUAAAGAAUUCCGAUGGGCUGAGCGGCAGAGGUGGACACAGCAGAGGCAAGAGGUCCACUGUCCACUCCUCUCUGAGUCAGGAAGUUGGAUUUGCCGAUGGCCUGCAUCGGCGGCAGAUCAACGUGGAGGGCUAGAGAGCAGUUUCCAUAACCACCUCUUUCCCUUUGCCCUUCCAGUGAUUCUCUGCAUCACCAGCUGUCCUACAAGUCAACUCAAUUCUGACACUCUCUGCCUGGAGAUGACAUCGGAUCCCACAGGUUAAGGUGAAGUCCUACAAGACUGUCCCACUCUUCAGAUGCCAAUCA